GACGAACGCUGGCGGCGUGCCUAAUACAUGCAAGUCGAACGCAUUUUCUUUCACCGUAGCUUGCUACACCGAAAGAAAAUGAGUGGCGAACGGGUGAGUAACACGUGGGUAACCUGCCCAUCAGCGGGGGAUAACACUUGGAAACAGGUGCUAAUACCGCAUAAUUCCAUUUACCGCAUGGUAGAUGGGUGAAAGGCGCUUUUGCGUCACUGAUGGAUGGACCCGCGGUGCAUUAGCUAGUUGGUGGGGUAACGGCCUACCAAGGCUGCGAUGCAUAGCCGACCUGAGAGGGUGAUCGGCCACACUGGGACUGAGACACGGCCCAGACUCCUACGGGAGGCAGCAGUAGGAAAUCUUCGGCAAUGGACGCAAGUCUGACCGAGCAACGCCGCGUGAGUGAAGAAGGUUUUCGGAUCGUAAAACUCUGUUGUUAGAGAAGAACAAGGAUGAGAGUGGAAAGUUCAUCCCUUGACGGUAUCUAACCAGAAAGCCACGGCUAACUACGUG
rnacentral:rRNA from 1 species